GAGGAUAGCUACACAUAUCAAUCACGUAACGACCUUGGCAGUAGUGACUUCAUCUCCACACCGGCUUUUUAUGCUUCACCACCAAUGACGUCUUUAAGCUCCAUCAACAAAAGCUUGUUGCCUACUCCUCAAGACUCCACACCAAAAACUUGCCCAGCAUACAACGAGCUCGGCAAGAGACAUAUGUUCGAGUCUCAUUACACCAGUGAAGUCACGGCAGUCUAGUUAUGAUCUUGGCGGUAAGGGCAGACCAACAAGACGACUC
rnacentral:lncRNA from 1 species